rnacentral:sRNA from 1 species
UCCAUAUCCAUUUUCUUUCUUCUCCAUUUUGGUGCCUUGGUGGUGUGUUUGUGGUGCAUUGGUGGUGCGGUGGUGGUGUGUUGGUAGUGCGUUGUUCGUGGGGUGCGUCUGCUGUGGAGAUUGGCGUUUUUGUUUGGUCUAUAAGAUACAAAGAAGAUAACUGCGACAGGCCUAAAUGGAUAUGACAUAUCUGUUUGGCCUUCAACGGAUGUGGAUAUUCGUUGUCGGGAAAACGAAUAUCCAUAUUUGUUUUCCCUUUAAUGGAUGUUAAUAU